rnacentral:rRNA from 1 species
AGAGUUUGAUUCUGGCUCAGGACGAACGCUGGCGGCGUGCUUAUCACAUGCAAGUCGAACGGAAAGGCCCUGCUUGCAGGGUACUCGAGUGGCGAACGGGUGAGUAACACGUGGGUGAUCUGCCUGCACUUCGGGAUAAGCCUGGGAAACUGGGUCUAAUACCGGAUAGGAGCCAUUUUUAGUGUGAUGGUUGGAAAGUUUUUUCGGUGUAGGAUGAGCUCGCGGCCUAUCAGCUUGUUGGUGGGGUAAUGGCCUACCAAGGCGGCGACGGGUAGCCGGCCUGAGAGGGUGGACGGCCACAUUGGGACUGAGAUACGGCCCAGACUCCUACGGGAGGCAGCAGUGGGGAAUAUUGCACAAUGGGCGCAAGCCUGAUGCAGCGACGCCGCGUGGGGGAUGACGGCCUUCGGGUUGUAAACUCCUUUCGCUAGGGACGAAGCUUUUGUGACGGUACCUAGAUAAGAAGCACCGGCUAACUACGUGCCAGCAGCCGCGGUAAUACGUAGGGUGCGAGCGUUGUCCGGAAUUACUGGGCGUAAAGGGCUCGUAGGUGGUUUGUCGCGUCGUCUGUGAAAUUCCGGGGCUUAACUCCGGGCGUGCAGGCGAUACGGGCAUAACUUGAGUACUGUAGGGGUAACUGGAAUUCCUGGUGUAGCGGUGAAAUGCGCAGAUAUCAGGAGGAACACCGAUGGCGAAGGCAGGUUACUGGGCAGUUACUGACGCUGAGGAGCGAAAGCAUGGGUAGCGAACAGGAUUAGAUACCCUGGUAGUCCAUGCCGUAAACGGUGGGCGCUAGGUGUGAGGGUCUUUUCACGACUUUCGUGCCGUAGCUAACGCAUUAAGCGCCCCGCCUGGGGAGUACGGCCGCAAGGCUAAAACUCAAAGGAAUUGACGG